CAGGACUAAACCAGUACUAAACCAGGACUAAACCAGGUCUAAACCAGGACUAAACCAGGACUAAACCAGGACUAAACCAGGACUAAACCAGGACUAAAUCAGGACUAAAUCAGGACUAAACCAGUACUAAACCAGGACUAAACCAGGACUAAACCAGGACUAAACCAGGACUAAACCAGGACUAAAUCAGGACUAAAUCAGGUCUAAACCAGGACUAAACCAGGACUAAAUCAGGACUAAAUCAGGACUAAACCAGUACUAAACCAGGACUAAACCAGGUCUAAACCAGGACUAAACCAGGACUAAACCAGGACUAAACCAGGUCUAAACCAGGACUAAACCAGGACUAAACCAGGACUAAACCAGGACUAAACCAGGUCUAAACCAGGACUAAACCAGGACUAAACCAGGACUAAACCAGGACUAAAUCAGGACUAAAUCAGGUCUAAACCAGGACUAAACCAGGACUAAAUCAGGACUAAAUCAGGACUAAACCAG
ensembl:lncRNA